GGACUACACGGGUUUCUAAUCCGUUUUGCUCCCCACGCUUUCGUGCCUCAAUGUCAGUAACAGAAUAGUUAACUGCCUUCGCCGUUAUUGAUGUUCAUCUUUAUAUCAUUGGAUUUUACCCCUACACAAAGAGUUCCGUCAACCUCUCCUGCACUCUAGCAUAGCAGUAUUACUAACUUCCACGAGGUUGAGCCUCGAUUUACCACUAAUAACUUGCUAUGCCAUCUACGCACCCUUUACGCCCAAUAAUUCCGGAUAACGUUCGUCACCUACGUCUUACCGCGGCGGCUGGCAC
rnacentral:rRNA from 1 species